GACAGAGGGUGCAAACGUUGUUCGGAAUUACUGGGCGUAAAGCGCGUGUAGGCGGCAUGGCAAGUCGGGUGUGAAAGCCCUGGGCUCAACCUAGGAAGUGCACUCGAAACUGCCACGCUUGAGUCUUGGAGAGGAAGGCGGAAUUCUCGGUGUAGAGGUGAAAUUCGUAGAUAUCGGGAGGAACACCGGUGGCGAAGGCGGCCUCUGGACAAUGACUGACGCUGAGACGCGAAAAGCGUGGGGAGCAAACAGG
rnacentral:rRNA from 1 species